rnacentral:rRNA from 1 species
AUGGACAAAACCAUCCUUGAAAGAUGUGUGGUGUGCGCAAAUUUGCCAAAGUUCCUUACCUAUGCAGAUCACUCAGCAAGUUAUUCUCAACAAGACGUGUGGUGUGCACAAAGUUGCCAAAGUUUCUUACCUAUGCAGAUAGCUCAGCAAAUUCGUCACGACAAGCACUUCCCUCCAAAUGAGUCAAAUGGAGCCUCCAAUGCAUGCAAGCUGCAACCGCAAUCUUCGCAUAUUCUAGUUAUCAUGCUGGUAUAUGCUGUUCAACACAUUUUACUAAAGAACAGGAGAUGUCUUGAUGUGCAUUAA